GUCAGGAUGGCCGAGUGGUCUAAGGCGCCAGACUCAAGGCAGUGUGAGCCUUCCCAUGGCGGGGUUGGGUAUUCUGGUCUCCGUAUGGAGGCGUGGGUUCGAAUCCCACUUCUGACA
rnacentral:tRNA from 2 species